GGCUCAUUAGCUCAGUGGUAAGAGCGUCGUGUUAAUAACACGAAGGUCGUGGGUUCGAUUCCCUCAUGUGCCA